GGAGUCUAAGAGGCCACCCUUGGUGGGGCCUUCCGUGGUUGGUACUCGGAUAGAGGGGUUCGAUUCCCCUUGGCUCCA
rnacentral:tRNA from 1 species